CACCUCAUACAUCUGCCCGCCCAGCCUACAAACCUAGCUGAAGCGGUUCCUAAAAUCGAGGGAGAUCACCCUUGCACAUCAUGCAGUUCCGUCAUUCGCAAAAUACAAAAGGGGCUUGUGUGGUGUGUAGGCAUGGUGGGAUUGUCACUUGAGAAAGCUUUGCGAAUGCUCUCCAUUUCGCUAGGCGGUGUUGGCUCCCUACAUAC
rnacentral:snoRNA from 1 species